rnacentral:rRNA from 1 species
AUUGAACGCUGGCGGCAGGCCUAACACAUGCACGUCGAGCGGAGCUGCGGACUGGUGAGUAAUGCCUGGGAAUCUGACUGGUAGUGGGGGAUAACGUACGUGAAGGGGCGCUAAUACCGCAUACUAUCACCUGAACAUAGGUCGGAUUGGCUAGUUGGUGGGGUAAAGGCCUACCAAGGCGACGAUCCGUAACUGGUCUGAGAGGAUGAUCAGUCACACUGGAACUGAGACACUGUCCAGACUCCUACGUGAGGCAGCAGGGGGGAAUAUUGGACAAUGGGCGAAAGCCUGAUACAGCCAUGCCGCGUGUGUGAAGAAGGUCUUCGGAUUGUAAAGCACUUUAAGUUGGGAGGCGUUACCAACAGAAGAAGCACCAGCUAACUCCGUGCCAGCAGCCGCGGUAAUAC